GCCAUGUUUUCAAGAAAUGUGUAUAAGUUGGUUUUCAGACAAAAGGCCUCGGAAAGGGAAAUAUUGUGGGUUAUGAGAAUUACUAUAUUUGUUGUUGGUAUCCUAGCAACGGUGAUGGGGAUCACUGUGAAGUCUAUUUACACUCUAUGGUUCCUGUGUUCUGACCUUGUGUUUGUUGUCUUGUUCCCACAACUGUUUUGCGCUGUAUAUUUGUCUUGGACUAACACAUAUGGUUCUUUGAUUGGAUAUAUUCUGGGACUAUUUUUCCGACUUGCCGGUGGUGAAGCGGUCCUGAACAUACCUGUGCUUAUAAAAUAUCCAUAUUAUAAUGACGCAGAUGGACAGUUAUUUCCCUUUAAGACUCUUUCCAUGAUCAUUUCUUUGACUUCAGUGCUUGUUUUCUCCUUUGUAACAAAUUAUUUGUUUAAGAAUGAAAUUUUACCAAAAAAAGCAGACAUAUUUAAAUGCAUUGUAAAUAGGGAUGAUGUAGGAAAACCAAGGAAAGAGUUCAACGAACCGAUUGAAAUGUCGCCGCCAGACGAAAAUUCGGGGAAAAUGAACCCAACAUUUGCAUAUUCAAAUGAUGACAUACAAGGAAAGGCGCAUGCAAACUAAUGUAGUAAUGUUCUAUCUACAAAUAUAUAUAUACGAGUACAGUGUUUAUUGUACAAAAAUUAUGAAACGUUCAGUAUAAAUAAGUACCUAACCUAUCUCAUAAAACCAGAACUGAUCAUUGCGUUUCACGCACGCCCCUCACAGCUCAAAUUUGGGGUAUAUACUAUUUUGUGUAUGUCUUUUAAUAAAAUUUAUAGUUUGAAAUUAA